GCCUCAACCUGAUCCAAUAUGGCUGGACCACCGGGGUGAGCGAUCCAAAAGAGCGAGUUCCAAUCCGAAAUGCCCAAAGGUUGAAAUGCCUCAGCUAGGCUCUUUUCAAUGUUCUUUGAAAUUAGGCCGGGAACAUCCUUGAGAAGGUGAAAUGUAAGUCCAACUUCACGAAGGUGACCGUCAAUGGCACCAUCGCUGUCUGGCAAGAUCGUUUGGGCCGCCGAGACGAGUUCAAACAUAGGCUUCUCGAUUUCAGGCAAUGGAUCCGCACCUACUAUAACAGCAGCAGCACCAUCACCGAACAACGCUUGGCCAACUAAAC
rnacentral:lncRNA from 1 species